GGGUGAACGGAAAAGCAUUUUGUUUAAAUAAAGUGUAGUUUUUUCUGGCUACGGUCAGCUACCUUUAAUAGAGCCGGUGUUCUAUGGGUAGAAAAGUUAACGCUUUUUUUGAAAGCUUCGCUUUUAGUGAUUUAUUCGCAUAAAGUUCUAUAUAGAUUGCAGAUAAUGACUAUUAUCUAUAUAAAAGUCUUGACCAAAACACGUGCCAGCAGUCGCGGCAACACGGGACAGACUAGUGUUAUUCAUCUUUAAUAGGUUUAAAGGGUACCUAGACGGCAAAUGACACCCCCAGAUUUGGAAUGGUACCUUUUUGCUAGAGUUUUAUGUGAGAGGUUUUUAGUACUAGCAGAGUAGAGAUGAAAUUCUUUGAUACUGUAGGGCACUGAUAACGGCGAAGGCAGGCCUUUAUGUAAAAACUGACGUUGAGGGACGAAGGCUUGGGUAACAAACAGGAUUAGGUACCCUAAUAGUCCAAGCAGAGAAUGAUGAGUGUCAUAGAUUAGAUAUAUUUGGUUUAUAAAUGAAAGUGUAAGCACUCCACCUUAAGAGUAAUGCGGCAACGCGGGAACUGAAAUCAUUAGACCGUUUCUGAUACCAAUAGUGAAGUAUGUUGUUUAAUUCGAUGACCCACGAAAAAUCUUACCACAAUUUGUAUAUUAUAGCAACACGGAAAGUUUUUAUUUAUUUGAAGGAAUUGCUACUAAUACAGGUGUUGCAUGGCUGUCUUCAGUUGGUGUCGUGAGAUGCAGGUUAGUUCCGUAAUCAACGUAGAACCCUUAUUUUAUUUUUUAAAUAGAGUAGCUUCAUCCGAGAUAUUGGAAGAUAAAUGGGAC
rnacentral:rRNA from 1 species